rnacentral:rRNA from 1 species
AUUGAACGCUGGCGGCGUGCCUAACACAUGCAAGUCGAGCGGUAACAGGUGUAGCAAUACAUGCUGACGAGCGGCGAACGGGUGAGUAAUGCUUCGGAAUCUUCCCAUGUAGUGGGGAAU